GAAAUGCGAUAAGUAAUGUGAAUUGCAGAAUUCCGUGAAUCAUCGAAUCUUUGAACGCACAUUGCGCCCUCUGGUAUUCCGGGGGGCAUGCCUGUCCGAGCGUCAUUGCGAACCCCUCAAGCACGGCCUGUGUGAUGGGCCCUCCCGCGUCUUGGUCGUCAAGACGGGCCCGAAAAGCAGUGGCGGCUUCGUGGUUAUCCGAUCAGCCAGAGCGUAUGGGGACUUUCUCUCUGUCACACGCCCGCGGCGCGGACCGACGCCUGUCGACCUUUAUUCAUCUUUUUCUCGGUUGACCUCGGAUCAGGUAGGGAUACCCGCUGAACUUAAGC
rnacentral:misc_RNA from 1 species